rnacentral:misc_RNA from 1 species
AAGUCGUAACAAGGUUUCCGUAGGUGAACCUGCGGAAGGAUCAUUACUGAGAGGUCUCUAUUGUUCCUCACAGUAUGUGCAAUGUUGGGUCACCUUGGUUGACUCUGCCUUUAGCACUUGGUUUCUAGUCGUAGACUUGGGACUGAGUCAGCUUUGUCUAGUAGAGACCCUCCUUUUAGGAGACUUAUUAGACGAAGCGACUAGGCAUGACCUUUGGGGUUGGUUUUACUACUAGCCCCAAUGGUUUCUAUGAAAAAGAAUUGAUGUAAGAAAGUUAUUUGUUAACUUGAAGACCUAGUCUUUAAAAACAACUCUUGGCAAUGGAUCUCUUGGUUCUC